GGUGAUAAUUACUUUCAUUUUUAAUGGAAGGAAAAGGCACAAUCUUGACAAAGUAAUCUGUUUCAAACUUCAGAUUUGCAAAGGGAUUGGAUUCCAUUCCUGUUCUUUUAAAACUUGGGCUGAGCUGCUUUGGAUCUCUUAAAACCAUCUGCUGACAUUGCCUUCCCUCUGAUUUUAACUCUUCAAGUAUUACACGGAAUCCUCUCAGGUAUUCAAUCCCAAUGGCAUUUGCUGUCCAAAGUAUUGUGACUGCAACUUGUUCAUAACAUGCAUACUGACUGAUUGUUAUAUUCUGCACAUCUCCAAUCACAUGCUUUCCCACUGAAUUCAGGUAAGGAGUGCAGUUGUCAUAUUUAAAGGUGAUAUUGAGAAGCCCAUUGCUCUUGGUGACAGAUGACAGGCCCUCAAGUCACGGAGAUUAAUGUUGG
rnacentral:lncRNA from 1 species